GCCAGAUUAUGACAGUUUGAACAUAAAACAGAUGGAAAUGUUUAGGCUGGAUAUGGCUGAUGUUAAAGGGUUAAAUUAUAGUUUACUAUGCUUAUAAAUAUUGUAAAAUAGUUAAAAAUACUAUAGAAGAAUAUUAAUAAGAGUAUUUGAAUACAUAUCUGAUGUAACUGAAUAAUACCUUGGUUUGAUUGCACAAGAUUCUCAAAAAAAUAUGCAUUUAAGAUUUUAUAAUGCAAAGGUAUAAUCAUUAAAGGUGUGAGAAGCCAGAUUAUGACAGUUUGAACAUAAAACAGGUGGAAAUGUUUGGGCUGGAUAUGGCUGAUGUUAAAGGGUUAAAUUAUAGUUUACUAUGCUUAUAAAUAUUGUAAAAUAGUUAAAAAUACUAUAGAAGAAUAUUAAUAAGAGUAUUUGAAUAUAUAUCUGAUGUAACUGAAUAAUACCUUGGUUUGAUUGCACAAGAUUCUCAAAAAAAUAUGCAUUUAAGAUUUUAUAAUGUAAAGGUAUAAUCAUUAAAGGACCAUAUGAGCUACUUAUUUUAUUCAAUAUAAUUCCUUGCUGAAAUCACUUUCAUAAUUUGAGGUAAUUAUUUUGAAAGAUUUUAUCUGGGCGUAUGUUUAGUUUCAUAUCUUACAACUAUUUUUGAGUUAACAAUCUUGAUAAUUACAAACAUUAAUUGUAAUUUAUUUCCUUAUUCUAAACCCAAUCAGGUUCAUCUUGGCCAGUGAACUAGAUUAUUAAUACCAUUUUAUUUAUUAGUAGAUAUUAGAUAAUUCAUUAUUACAGGGUGGGUAUUCAGUAUAUGGAUUGUUAGUUAUUCAAUAGCUGACUACAUCUCAUCUUGCUCAGUUCAUGUUAUACUUCAGUCUGUCUUGGAAAUUGUGAGUAGUAGUAACUGAAUAUCAAAUUGACACUUGGUUUUCUUAGAUCAGUGACUUACAUUGUUGAUUUUCAUUGUUUCCAUGUCUUUUUCGACCUUUAAACAAAACACGGUAACCAUUGCACACUACUGAUAUUGUAAAAAUGAUUAAAGUGAGUGUCACUCACAUUUAGGACUAUUGAUGUUUUGAUUGUGUAGAUUGUAAAUAAUUAAACGCUCAAACCAUUUACUAGAUAAAUGUUUCAAACAUACAAAUUUGCUGUGAUGUUCAUAUUUCCUUUCACAUUUUUAAUUAGAACCAAUACUCUAACUACAGGAUAUCAAAUCUCUUUUAAUAGCAAUUUCUAACAUUGGUACAAAGCCACCCAUUUGUACACAAAAAGCACAGUCAUUUCAGAAUACAAUCAAGUAUACUUUAGUUGCAUUUAAGGUUAAAAGUAUUUUGAAUUAUUAACGUUAUCUUUAAGAGACAAAACUUCUUUAAUAAUUUAUCAACACUGUCUCUAUUGGUUUCAUCUGUGAUUAUCAUUUUAAUCUUAUUCUUUGAACAUGUACAUUGUAUGAGGCUGGAUUCCUACUAGGAAACUUUAUUUUUGAACAAUGAAUAAUAAUAUCUUCAUCCACUGAACUCUGGAUACUUGUAUGAGUAAUGACAUAAAUUUAAGUGGGUUUCUUUCAUUUUUUUUUUUUUUUGUAAAUGCAGCCUUAUUGAGCUGAUGUCGGUUUUGAGCACAUUGAUUGGGUUUUUAUCAAGCCUUAUAUAUCAAGCAUUGGUGAUUGAUUUUUCUCAGUUUCCUCUGUGGUUCUCUGACAAUUAUAUAAAUUUCAUUCUCUAGCAGUAUGUAAUUUAUUUUCUUGCUCUGUUUCUCUUCAACUAUUUAUAUGCUUCUUCUUUCAUUUAGCCUUUUUUAUCUUCCUCUGUUCUUACUUUUAGGGGCUUCCGAGUUUCUCUUUUGCAAUAUUUCAUGUUUUAAUAUUCUUUAAUAUUCCAUGCACUUCUACAAAUACGUGAACUCUUAUAGAUGAAAUUCUUAUGUUCAAGCUAUCCAUGAGUAGAUUUAAUUUGGUGAUCAAUCUAAAGUUUAACAUUACUUUUGAAUAUAGUUCCUUUCUAAAAUGCUAGGUACAUCAGAAUUGUGCUCUAAUGUUUUGUGUUGUAGAUUCUCUGAAUUCUCUCUGACAAAUUCUUAUAGUAAUGUGGAGACAUAAUAGAGUUUGAUUUAGUCUCUAUUCUGUGCUUGAAAGUAAUUGUAUACCUUAUAUGAUGGACCAGGUAUUUGUUACUCAGAAAUGUCAUUUCCAGGUGAAUCAUUUCUUCCAUAUAAAUUGAAAUAUUGAUGCAGGUCUUUCUUUUGUCCAAAGUUAGUGUGGUAUUAGAUAAUUUCAUUUUGGAAGUUAAUCAUAAUUUAAGUAGAGUUCACCGGCUAUUGGUUUUUGAUGCAUUGAUGCUAUGAAACCUGCUUCUGUCUUUGAACCAAUACACCAAAGAAUGGUAGUUCAUUGUUACAUGCCCUCUUCUAGGUAAACUAAAUUGAUAUAUGUGGAUAACACCAAGUUGAACUUGGUGUUAUCCAUAUUUCUUCAUCGAGCUGUUGAUUUUUAGUGUGGUACUUAUUAGAGCUAGAAUCUUCAAAGUGUUCCAUAUAGGUUUACCUAUUACUCUUGAUAAUAAACCCAUAGCCAACCCUUUCAUUUAUGGUAAAUUUUAUUUUCCACCAGAAAGCAGUGAUCAGUUGGUAGUUUUGCGCUCAUGAAGACUUUGGGGGGUUUUUUUUCUUGUCUGCUCCUGACAAUCACGACAAUUGACAAGGCAUCGUCUGUUAGAAUCAUUGUUAAUAGGUUUACCACAUCAUAACUGGACAUGAUUUGCUUGUACUCAACUUGUUCUAUGAAGCAUGUUCAAUUUUUCACAUGAGAAGUUCUGCUCAAAAGUACCAAGAGUGGGGAAAGGAUGUUAAUCAGAAAAAAAACUCAGUAGAUAAUAUGCUGAGUGUCUGCAUCUAACAAUAGACCCAAAGGUAUCCCAAGUCAUCAUCAUUUAACAUCUGCCUUCCAUGCUGGCAUAGGCUGAACAGUUUGACAGGUGUUGGUAAAGCAAAGGAUUGCAUCAAGUGCUAUUGUGUACUUUGGCAUUCUUUUUAAGACUUGAUGCCUUUCUUCUGUAUGUGUUUGUGUGUGUAUAUAUAUAUAUAGGUAGCUAAUUAUUGUGUUGUAUAAGCUCUUUGUAUUUAUAGUCAGUAAAAUGUUUUUAUGCACAAUUGACAAAAUGUUCAUGAAGCGAGGCUUUUCUUUAACUCUUUUGGUAUCAAAUCUCCCAAGACCUUCCUGGUUUUAUGGUACUAACAUCCUGUUUUAAAGUGAUCUAAAUUAAAGCUUCCUUUUAUAAUUCCAGGUUUAUGUUCGUUUGAAACUGAACUUAAUAAAACAAAGUCAUUCUACUAUAAUCUUUAUUGUUUUAUAAAUUAACUGAAAGAAAAAU